UACAGAGGUCUCAAGCGUUGUUCGGAUUCAUUGGGCGUAAAGGGUGCGUAGGCGGCGAGGUAAGUCAGAUGUGAAAUCCCGGGGCUUAACCCCGGAACUGCAUUUGAUACUGCUUUGCUUGAGGACUGGAGAGGAGAUCGGAAUUCACGGUGUAGCAGUGAAAUGCGUAGAUAUCGUUUGGAACACCAAUAGCGUAGGCAGGCUUCUGGGUGCCACCUGACACUGCUAGGACGAAAGCGUGGGGAGCGAAUGGG
rnacentral:rRNA from 1 species